rnacentral:rRNA from 1 species
GACGAAGGAUGCAAGCGUUAUCCGGAUUCACUGGGUUUAAAGGGUGCGUAGGCGGGCAGGUAAGUCCGUGGUGAAAUCCCCGAGCUUAACUCGGGAACUGCCAUGGAUACUAUUUGUCUUGAAUAUUGUGGAGGUAAGCGGAAUAUGUCAUGUAGCGGUGAAAUGCUUAGAUAUGACAUAGAACACCAAUUGCGAAGGCAGCUUACUACACAGUUAUUGACGCUGAGGCACGAAAGCGUGGGGAUCAAACAGG